UACGUAGGGUGCAAGCGUUAUCCGGAAUUAUUGGGCGUAAAGAGCUCGUAGGCGGUUUGUCGCGUCUGCCGUGAAAGUCCGGGGCUCAACUCCGGAUCUGCGGUGGGUACGGGCAGACUAGAGUGCGGUAGGGGAGACUGGAAUUCCUGGUGUAGCGGUGAAAUGCGCAGAUAUCAGGAGGAACACCGGUGGCGAAGGCGGGUCUCUGGGCCGUAACUGACGCUGAGGAGCGAAAGCAUGGGGAGCGAACAGG
rnacentral:rRNA from 1 species